UACGAGUGCCUCAAGCGUUACCCGGAAUCACUGGGCGUAAAGGGUGUGUAGGCGGUCAUGUUAGUCUCUUGUUAAAUCUUCGGGCUCAACUCGAAAACCGCGAGGGAAACGGCAUGACUAGAGGAUGGCAGGGGUGUACGGAACUCAUGGUGUAGGGGUGAAAUCCGUUGAUAUCAUGGGGAACACCAAAAGCGAAGGCAGUACACUGGGCCACUCCUGACGCUCAGACACGAAAGCCAGGGUAGCGAACGGG
rnacentral:misc_RNA from 1 species